rnacentral:rRNA from 1 species
GAUGAACGCUGGCGGCGUGCCUAACACAUGCAAGUCGAACGGAGCUGUCGGAGCUUGCUUUGACAGCUUAGUGGCGAACGGGUGAGUAACGCGUGAGCAACCUGCCCUUGAGAGGGGGAUAACAUCGGGAAACCGAUGCUAAUACCGCAUAAAAUAUGCAGAUGGCAUCAUUGGCAUAUCAAAGGAGAAAUCCGCUCAAGGAUGGGCUCGCGUCUGAUUAGAUAGUUGGUGAGGUAACGGCCCACCAAGUCGACGAUCAGUAGCCGGACUGAGAGGUUGACCGGCCACAUUGGGACUGAGACACGGCCCAGACUCCUACGGGAGGCAGCAGUGGGGAAUAUUGGGCAAUGGGGGGAACCCUGGACCCAGCAACGCCGCGUGAAGGAAGAAGGCCUCGGUUGUAACUUCUUGUACAGGGAAGAAGGAAGUGACGGUACCUGAGAACAAGCUACCGGCUAACUAACGUGCCAGCAGCCGCGGUAAAGUCGACGUCGCG